AUUGAACGCUGGCGGCAUGCCUUACACAUGCAAGUCGAACGGCAGCACGGGAGCAAUCCUGGUGGCGAGUGGCGAACGGGUGAGUAAUAUAUCGGAACGUGCCCAGUCGUGGGGAUAACGUAGCGAAAGCUACGCUAAUACCGCAUACGAUCUAUGGAUGAAAGCGGGGGGAUCGCAAGACCUCGCGCGAUUGGAGCGGCCGAUAUCAGAUUAGGUAGUUGGUGAGGUAAAGGCUCACCAAGCCGACGAUCUGUAGCUGGUCUGAGAGGACGACCAGCCACACUGGGACUGAGACACGGCCCAGACUCCUACGGAGGCAGCAGUGGGGAAUUUUGGACAAUGGGCGCAAGACCUGAUCCAGCAAUGCCGCGUGC
rnacentral:rRNA from 1 species